rnacentral:rRNA from 1 species
GACGGGGGAUGCAAGCGUUAUCCGGAAUCACUGGGCGUAAAGCGUCUGUAGGUGGUGAUGCAAGUCACUGGUGCAAAAAUCUGGCUCAACCGGAGGAAAGGCAGUGAAACUGCAUGACUAGAGUGUGGGAGAGGUAGAAGGAAUUCCCUGAGUAGUGGUGAAAUGCGUAGAUACAGGGAAGAACACCGGAGGCGAAAGCGUUCUACUGGAACACAACUGACACUGAGAGUCGAAAGCUAGGGGAGCGAAUAGG